GGCCAGACUCCUACGGGAGGCAGCAGUGGGGAAUAUUGCACAAUGGAGGAAACCCUGAUGCAGCGACGCCGCGUGAGCGAUGAAGUAUUUCGGUAUGUAAAGCUCUAUCAGCAGGGAAGAAAAUGACGGUACCUGACUAAGAAGCCCCGGCUAACUACGUGCCAGCAGCCGCGGUAAUACGUAGGGGGCAAGCGUUAUCCGGAUUUACUGGGUGUAAAGGGAGCGUAGGCGGCCAUGCAAGUCAGAAGUGAAAACCCGGGGCUCAACCCUGGGAGUGCUUUUGAAACUGUGCGGCUAGAGUGUCGGAGGGGUAAGUGGAAUUCCCAGUGUAGCGGUGAAAUGCGUAGAUAUUAGGAGGAACACCAGUGGCGAAGGCGGCUUACUGGACGAUGACUGACGCUGAGGCUCGAAAGCGUGGGGAGCAAACAGGAUUAGAUACCCUAGUA
rnacentral:rRNA from 1 species